UCCCUGGUGGCUCAGACAGUAAAGUGUCUGCCUGCAACGCGGAAGACCCAGGUUCGAUCCCUGGAUCGGGAA
rfam:Ovis aries breed Texel chromosome 3, whole genome shotgun sequence.